AUGCUCUUUCGCCGGAUUCUCCCUUGCCAACGCCAGACUCAGUAUAUGUGGGAGUUCGACCCGGCCAGUCCCCGGACCCUGCAGCGGUUCUUCGGCACGAAGCACGAAGACAUGUGGAAGCUGCUAUUCAAGACCCAAAAGACGUGGCCAAAAACGACCGAAGACCUCGGCCUCGACUGCACUCACACAGCGACUCCCGGCUGGACAAAGAAGGCGGAGCGGAUUCACUGUCCGGCUCCGCUACCCGAAGACCCGACCAUUCCUCUAUUGACGAGGAUGCUGGUUCCGGCGCCGUAUCAGGCACUGGAAAAGAAGGCCAAGAAGAAGAGCAAGGCGGCCAAGGGUGGCCUCCGCCGUAAAGGCGCUUCGGACGUAGUGUCCGAAGACACCAAAACUCUCUCCUCUCAUGAUGAAGAUGAAGAGGAGGAGGAAGAGCGCAAUUCCCCCCUUAAGGGGGGAAAGAAGAAGAGGUUGGCUUCCGUGGAGCUAGAUACAGAGGCGUCCAAGAAAGGGAGAAUCUCCCUUAUGGAUGAUUCCGAGACGAACGCCGAUGACAUCCAUGAGUGGCGCCCCAGGUCGAAGCCCCUGGCCGAAUCGUAA
rnacentral:rRNA from 1 species